rnacentral:tRNA from 1 species
GGGGAUAUAGCUCAGUUGGUAGAGCUCCGCUCUUGCAGUGGCGGAUGUCAGCGGUUCGAGUCCGCUUAUCUC